GUCCACCGCAGACUAACGCAAUCUCUGCUUCCUCCCUAUAAAUAACGCGCAGGCUAUGUUUGCAGCUGGCAAGGAGGCGCUUUGUUUUAACGGCACAUCAGACAAAAUAAAAGCUAUUCAAAGGGAACGAGUUGGAAACCGAUACAAAGGAGUCAGUGCCGAACAGGGAACAUCUGCUGCAUGUUCCCAAUAAUGAUUAUUUAUGGGCGAGGACGGCUCCAGCCCACCCUCCUCACCCCCCACCAAAGCUUCCUUGGAAUCUGGUCUGUCACAUGGUAGAGAUUUCCCCUGCGCGCAGCGGGCUGGGGAGCCCUGGAAACCUUUAGGAAACCAACGUGACCCAUCCAACAUCCACCUCCCACAAAAGGCUUGGCAGGGGGGUGUGCGUGUGCGGCUCUCUCCUGUUGCUGAAAAGUUGCAAAAAUAAGAAAGAGAGGAAAUCAGAGGCAAGAGAAGUUGCUUCCAGAGCUAACUGCCGCACUCGAUUUCUUCUGAGCCAGCUUUUUUUUCAAUGCCCAGCUUCCUGCCACUCUUGGAGCCACACAAAGUUACUCCUCAGCAUGUGUCAGGGUAGCACAAUGCGGCCCAAAGGUGAGAACAGCUCAGAGUCAGGCCCAGCAUUGGCAGGGACGUGCAGGGCACUCAGUUCGAGGAGAUGGCACCAAGCCCCCUCGGCAGCUUGCAGCAUGCAGGGACAUCCUCCAGCCCCUUUGGGAAAAUACUGAAACAAUCUACAUGCAUCACCAUCUCAUUUUCUCUCCUGCCCGCUGGACAUCAACCUAAACGCAGCCCAGCUCCACAUAAACUUUGGCCAUCUGACAAUAAUCUUCCCAGCCGGCUAACCAUCUUUUACGUCUCUCGGCGGUUCAUGUUUCACACAAUGAGUAAUGCGAUACUGGCACACGUAAGGGAGAAGGUCUGCCUUGCAUGGGCUUUGAAUACAGCUGAAGCUGCCCCUUCCAGCCCCUUGCUACUCACCGCUUGCCAUUCCUCUGCUUCCCAGCUGUAAACGGGACAGUCGGCAAGGUGGCAUCCCUGUUCAGCCUCGGGUCUCGUGGACUGAGGGCAGUCAGCUUCCCCGGCUGGUUUCUGAGUGCCGGUGUAGCAAUACACAUUCCUCCGCCGAAUGCCUCUCCCGCAGGACACUGAGCACUAGGACAGGACAGACAAGAAGGAGGAUUCAUAAUUAGCUAGAAGACAACUUCCCAGAAUCUCAAUGCAAACCAUUGCAGAUCAGAGCGCUCGCAUGGGAACGGACCACGCCAUGAUAGCAGCGACUCGGGCUAUCCUGUUACAACCAUUCAUUUUGCAUUGCCUAAAAGGCGAAGGAAAGCACCUCGGGUGCACACGACAAACGGUGGGUGUGUGCUGACAAUGAGAACAUAUUUGUGUGACAAAGCUGCUGUAGUUCUCCCAGACUGUUGCUGCUUUAUCUGCUACAAAAGGGGGUGAUCGAUCCUACAGCACUGGGUUUAUCCACUGGUGCUGUACCCAAACUUAAAAUGCCCAUUGCUAAUAUUUCCAGCAGCACAGGACUUCUCACCCUUCGAGCCAAAGGACUGCAUCAUUUUGCUACACUCACGGCACAUGAAAAGUGCCCGGGCUUUGCAUUUCUUUUGUAAUGGCUAUAUACAGCUGGUGGUCACCUUCCCACUCCUGUGGUGAUUUGGCAGCUGCCAAUCUAGUGUGUGUCACUGAUGCACACCUCCAGCAUCAGUGCAACACCCCCUGGUGCACACCUCCAGCAAAUCUGGUGUGCAUCACUGAUGCGCACCUCCUGCAUCCAUGCAACACCCACUGAUGCACACCUCCAGCAAAUCUGGUGUGCAUCGCCGAUGCGGACCUCCAACAUCCGUGCAACACCCACUGAUGCACACCUCCAGCAAAUCUGGUGUGCAUCACUGAUGCGCACCUCCAGCAUCCGUGCAACACCCACUGAUGCACACAUCCAGCAAAUCUGGUGUGCAUCAGUGCACUGUCUCUAGCUACCGUCUUGCUGCCAUACCUGGGCUCUCUCCUAAAAAUGUCCUGCGCCCAGAAUAGCCAGCAAUAACUUUAGCAGGCACCAAAGCCAUCGUGUGGGUUUAAGCCUUCUUCUCUUUCGAGCCCCCAGUAAACCACUGCAGUAGAUGGACGUUCAGUGCUGGAACUGGUACGGGAAUAAAAGCAAUGCCUUUUGUUUGCUCUCCGAUCAGAAAGCAAGUCCGUAACUCAUUCUAACCUUUCCAGUGACAUUUUGGAGCACAAAUAGAGCGCAGAUGUUUGGGGCACCCCGGAUACAACUGUGACAAAUCCUCACAGCUGCACUGGUUUGGGUGGAAGCCCACUGGUUUCCCCUCCAACUGAGGAUCUGGCCAGGAUGUCUGCCACUGACUAUUUACAUUUCUUUUCUUCCAACGUCUCUGCCUUUAGGCCAUGAUAUGAAGCGAAAAAGAAGAGCAAUUGUCCAGCUAUUUAUACGCUUCCCAUUUUGACACCUGCAAGGCACAAACGGCACUUCCAGAAGUGUGAAGUAUCCGUCCCUGUGGCAUGAGCCUGCUAACUGCUCUGAGUUUUGCUGUCUUCAACUCUCAUUUCACUCUGCCGAGCAAGUGGGGUAUUUUCUCUGCCGAGCGUAAAGGAGCUGUGUCAGGGCAUUGUUGGGUAUUUUUAAAUGAUCUAAUUUCCUGGGGUUGAGACGUAUUUUUAUCUUCCCUUGCACGGUUAACGUCUCCGGGCCCUAGCCUCAGCUGGUUAAACUGGUGCCGUGCUGUUGGCUGCACUGGAGUUAAGCUGAGAUGCCUCAGCUGAGAAUCCAGCUCUUAUGCUAGAUAAGAUUUGCCUAUUCUGGGCCUGAUCAUUAGCAUACAAAUAAUCUUUAAUUGCCUAGUCACAAGAGAUUACCUUGGGCCAUAAAUCACCUCAGACUCUUAUUAACUUGGGUUUCUUUUUCAAAUUGUAUACAAUUAAAUCCUGACGGAAAGGAAUGCUUUGAAUUCUAACACACUUAUUUUUAUCAAUUAAAGUUAACAUAUUUUUAAGCAAUCAACAGACCAUUACAUUAGUGUGUUUACUUUUAUUAGCUGCAAAAAAUUUGCUUUCUGGAGCAGUCACUUUUAAUAUGGUGCACAGCUGAUGUAUUGAGACACUAAAUAGUCUUAUUUCUUCUUCUCCUUGUAGGGUUUUGGACAAAAUCAAGUCUUUUCUGAGUCCUGCAGGGCUCUCUCAAACCCUUCCACAUUGUUUUGCAAGACCACUAAACCUAAAUGACAAAUGUCUGGCUAUCCUUUUUGCUAAGAAAGGCAAAUACUGGACUACUAGUUCUUCAAAAUGAAAAGGAAAAAAAAAACCCAACUCUGAAAACAAUCAUGAAAACAUUGGGUUUUGGUUUUUUUAACAGAUACUUGACAUCAGAUAACAAUUGUGUAUACAAGUAUUAAUAGGGAUUGUAUGUUUGUGUGUGCAUAUCAAUAUGUUCCUGGUUUACUUUUUAACAGAGGAAGCAUACAGCAAGAUUCCCGGCCUUUUGCAUUAAUGUGGCAGAGAAAGCAAGACUGUGACAGAAUGGGACAUUUUACAAGUUAACAGUUCAUUUAGUUUUCGAUCUUCAAUAAUUCUGCGGAUUAGCACGCUGGCAAAGUACAUGCAGAAAUCAAGAUUGAUAGGCAGAAAAAACACGAGGCAAAGGGUUCAAGAUGCAGCUGAGUGUUGUGGAAAAUGUGAAAUGUUAUUUAAAAAGAUUUUAGCAGUGUUAACAAAAAAACAAAAAAAAGGAGCGGCACAAAUACAAUAAAUAGAAGGAUAUCUUUGGGCCUGAAAUAAUCCAUUAAUAUAGAAAUAUGAAUACUGAACUAUUGAAAAUAAAGAAUUAUUUUUCAAUACUGGAGCAUGGGAAAGCAAUGUGAAGAAAGACCUGCAAAAAGAUUAAGGUACACACAGCAAAUCAUAGGUUGAACCAAAGCCAAGCUUUUCCACAUCCGCGCAACUUGAAACACAAAGCCUGGGCUCUUUACAAAGCGAGGCUAACUGAUGUGGGCACGGCGCCAUGCAACUGGCAGGAAAAGGUUGACAACAAUGUAUGUUUUUAAUGAAUGGAUGUUCAUUAUAUGAAGUAUAUUUAGGAAGGUUGUUUGUUCCUAAAUAGCUCCAUUUUCUAGUAAAAAUGAGAAGUGGCAGCUUUCAUGUUAGACCAGGGGUGGGCAAAAUACAGCCUGGGGGCCAGAUCCAGCAUGCCAGGCCAUUCUAUCCGGUUUGCGGGGCCCCUAAAAAUUUGAGAAAACUCCUAUUUAUUUGCUCCUAGCUGCCUGUCAAAGAUGACAAGAGCCAGGGGCAGUAGGACCCAGAGAAAGCUGGUGGCAGGACCCAGCAGCAAGGUCUGCCCAGCCCUGCCCCCACAACCAGAAACCCCUGCCUAGCAGAGGCUUCUAGCCUGGGACCAUGGAGAUGUUCCCACUUCCCUGCACCAGAGAGGGAAAUGUAGCCCUCAAUGGCCUGCCAAAACUCAGUAAGCGGCCCUCUGCCCGAAAUAAUUGCCUGCCCCUGUGCUAGACGCUGCAAUAAAAGAAGGAUGACUGGGCUUCAUCAGAUUUGGGUUAGUCUCACACACCGAGUCCUCUUUGAGCAGCAGCUUAAGAAACUGAGAGCCAGGACUGCUUUGUUACCCACUGACCACCUUCCUGCACAUGCAAACAGAUUUGCUACAUCCUCUGGUGACGUAAAUCAGUGCAGCUCCACUGCCACGUAUGGAGUGAGACCCAUUUACAUCAGCUUAGCAUCUAACUCAGACCAUGUGCACUCCAAAGCCUGCAGAAGGACUGAAAGGAGGAGGUACCUAGGCCCUAAAUGAUCCAGCAGAUCAGGAGCAUCUAAAUAAUCAAUAGGAUCUUACCUGUCC